rnacentral:rRNA from 1 species
GAUGAACGCUAGCUACAGGCUUAACACAUGCAAGUCGAGGGGUAACAAGAGGAAAGCUUGCUUUUCUUGUUGACGACCGGCGCACGGGUGAGUAACGCGUAUCCAACCUGCCUAUAACUAGGGAAUAACCUUGCGAAAGUAAGACUAAUACCCUAUGAUUUCCUUUGAUGACAUCAGAUUAGGAAUAAAGAUUUAUCGGUUAUAGAUGGGGAUGCGUCUGAUUAGCUUGUUGGCGGGGUAACGGCCCACCAAGGCAACGAUCAGUAGGGGUUCUGAGAGGAAGGUCCCCCACAUUGGAACUGAGACACGGUCCAAACUCCUACGGGAGGCAGCAGUGAGGAAUAUUGGUCAAUGGGCGGAAGCCUGAACCAGCCAAGUAGCGCGCAGGAUGACGGCCCUAUGGGUUGUAAACUGCUUUUAUACAGGAAUAAAGUUAGCCACGUGUGGUUAUUUGUAGGUACUGUAUGAAUAAGGACCGGCUAAUUCCGUGCCAGCAGCCGCAGUAACAC